UACGUACGAGGCGAGCGUUAUCCGGAAUUACUGGGCGUAAAGCGUGCGCAGGCGGCUUCUCAAGUCAGGGGUGAAAGCCCAGAGCUCAACUCUGGAAUUGCCUGUGAGACUGAGUGGCUUGAGUACGAGAGAGGUGAGUGGAAUUCCCAGUGUAGAGGUGAAAUUCGUAGAUAUUGGGAAGAACACCGGUGGCGAAGGCGGCUCACUGGCUCGUAACUGACGCUCAUGCACGAAAGCGUGGGGAUCAAACAGG
rnacentral:rRNA from 1 species